AUGAACGCUGGCGGCGUGCCUAAUACAUGCAAGUCGAACGCUUCACUUCGGUGAAGAGUGGCGAACGGGUGAGUAAUACAUAAGUAACCUGGCAUCUACAGGGGGAUAACUGAUGGAAACGUCAGCUAAGACCGCAUAGGUGUAGAGAUCGCAUGAACUCUAUAUGAAAAGUGCUACGGGACUGGUAGAUGAUGGACUUAUGGCGCAUUAGCUUGUUGGUAGGGUAACGGCCUACCAAGGCGACGAUGCGUAGCCGACCUGAGAGGGUGACCGGCCACACUGGGACUGAGACACGGCCCAGACUCCUACGGGAGGCAGCAGUAGGGAAUUUUCGGCAAUGGGGGAAACCCUGGCCGAGCAACGCCGCGUGAAGGAAGAAGUAAUUCGUUAUGUAAACUUCUGUCAUAGAGGAAGAACGGUGGAUAUAGGGAAUGAUAUCCAAGUGACGGUACUCUAUAAGAAAGCCACGGCUAACUACGUG
rnacentral:rRNA from 1 species